UUCAUACCUUUGCUGAAUCUUAUGUUAAGAACGGGGGAACCAAUAUGGCAGGAGGCUGUUUGCGCCUGCCCGGGGUGAAUCCUGGCGGAGGCCGGGAAGGAAGCUCUCAAUUCCUAAUCCGGCAGCUAACUCCGUAAGCAUAUUGAGAGAAAGG
rnacentral:sRNA from 2 species